rnacentral:misc_RNA from 1 species
CAGGCUGUCGAAAGACAUCCCUUUCAACCCAUUGUGAACUUUACCGUCUUGUUGCCUCGGCAGGCGACCUCAGGGGAGGUCUUUGCCAUUUUUUGGUGCCUGUCGUAGGACCCCCAAAUUCUUUUUAGUGAUGUGGUCUGAGCUUUAGCGCAAACUAUCA